UACGGGGGGGGGCAAGCGUUGUUCGGAAUUACUGGGCGUAAAGGGCUCGUAGGCGGCCAACUAAGUCAGACGUGAAAUCCCUCGGCUUAACCGGGGAACUGCGUCUGAUACUGGAUGGCUAGAGGUUGGGGAGAGGGAUGCGGAAUUCCAGGUGUAGCGGUGAAAUGCGUAGAUAUCUGGAGGAACACCGGUGGCGAAGGCGGUCUCCUGGGGCGAUUCUUGACGCUGAGGCGCGAAAGCUGGGGGAGCAAACGGG
rnacentral:rRNA from 1 species